AGUUCUACUCUGCUCAGACUUAGAAUAAUUUCUCUGCCUUACUGCUUAAUCCUGGUGGGAAGAUUCGGCGUUGCGUGCGUGUGUGCUUGCGCUGUUGCGGUGAUCGCGUCGUGAUCAGCUGAGGUGGCAGCCAGUGAGACAAUUAAGCUAUACCACUAUAGGUUUCCUGCCGGGUGGCUGGGAGUAGAUGGGUGAUCAGGCCCGUUCUCUGUGGCGAUGUCCACUGUGGUUACACUGCUGGCUGCGGUGGAGGCUCCAGGCGUGCCAGGGGCAGAUGGAAGCUCCAGGUGGACGGAGAGAAGAAAGGUCUGCAGCGGACUUGAGGUAGAAAGGACAAGGGUCGAAGAGAACAAGGGAUGAGUCUUUGGUCACAUCAGAUUUCAUAGCCGUGUUUUCGGUCACGCCCGUCCUAUUGUUUGGUCCAAUCAGGAUGGCUGACGUCCAAGUUCCUCCACCGUUUGUCGUUUGUAUCAGCGGGGAGUUCGGACGUCUCAGCGGGGGAGCCAGCCACUGAUGGACGGAUUGUAUAAUUGGACCCUCCAGAAAGCACACAGUCUGUGACAUGUGAUGAAGAUGAAGACCACUUCUGCUGGGGCAGAAUUGGACGGGGGGAUUUACUGUAAAUGCAGAUGAGGGUCGAUUUAUGUCAUCACAAAAUCUAAGCAGUGUAAGAAUUUGUCUGCAGUUGUAUUUUCCUCACAUAAUGUUUUAUAUAUAAUUUUAUUACAUACAAAUAUUCCUUUUUUAAUGCCUUCCUAGAGCUGUAUAAGGUCCAUCUUCAACAACAAAUCAACUUGAGAUGGAUCUUAUACAGCUCAAAAUAGAGGAGAAAGGACUGGCCAUAAAAAGGCUAAACUCGAAAUUGAAAUACUGGAGCACCGCCUUAAGGUUAGGACUUUAACUGAACAUUAAUGUUACAAUUUGAAGUGCGGUUGUGUGAAGCAGUGUAAAUAUUGUUCCUUUUUUUCAGGACAGGAAGAAAUAAAGGGCACUCUUGAUGCAGGAACCUUUUAAAAAAGUGAUUCUGACAAAUCAUGUGUCUUCCAAGAGUCUUCCAUCCCUGUGGUCUAUUUGGUUCACUACUGGAUCCUCUUGGUCAUCUUCAUCAGGACAAGGAGGGUGGCUCACUUCCUUUAUCGGCAAUGUUGUGAAGGACCACACAACCCACUAUAAUGUCACAUGUGUUGGAAAAAUACUGCAUUUAAUCAUUGAAACAUAUUUUCAUGAAGCCUCGUUAGCUGUGCUAUAGCUUUGAAGUUUCCUUCCUUCUGCUCUGCAAGAAAUAGGGAGUACCGGUGUGUAGCAUCCUUAUCUGAUGAGCCCAAUGCUUGCUUUGUGCAGAAAAUAUUUCCCAUGUACUGUGUGACUAUGCACCUCGCAGAAUGCAAUACAUAUUAUGAGCUGAAUCCUUCUCUUCAGUGAGAGGAAGUUGCCUUUGCUGUAAACUGCUCACUCCUUGCAAGUAAAAUCCUGUAAAAUCCUGUCUCAACUGAUUGUGUCUGCUUUAUUUAAGAUUUACAAAGGGAACUAACAAUUUCCCUAACAACAUGCCCUCUCUGGACUG